rnacentral:rRNA from 1 species
AUGAUACAAUGGUCAAAGGAGCAAUCCGCUGACAGGAUGGACUCGCGUCUGAUUAGGAUAGUUGGUGAGGUAACGGCUCACCAAGUCGACGAUCAGUAGCCGGGACUGAGAGGUUGAACGGCCACAUUGGGACUGAGACACGGCCCAGGACUCCUACGGGAGGCAGCAGUGAGGGAUAUUGCACAAUGGGCGAAAGCCUGAUGCAGCAACGCCGCGUGAGGGAUGACGGUUUUCGGAUUGUAAACCUCUGUCUUCAGUGACGAAUCAAUGACGGUAACUGAGGAGGAAGCCACGGCUAACUACGUG